GAACAAAGCAUAGAUGUCAUGAUUGCCGCAUACGCGUCGCGCUUUGAAGCUGUAUUCCUUUGCGACAUCCGAAGGGACCGAAAAUGUCACAGGUAACUGCUACUAAGUAUAUGAAAAAAUAAAAAUCUUUCGUGCAAAAGUGGGUGCAGCGGUAUAAAGAAAUAAAAACGGUCGACGAUUUGCCGAAACGUGGCUCGGUGGAAAAAUGUACAAAAGAAAACGGAUAGUGAACAUGUUUUCGAAGAAUCCUGCGUUAACACUCGUCAUAAGAAUCGCUCGCCGAAUGAAUUCAUUCGUCAAGGACACUGCGUCAAGGACAAGCAAAAUUGAGAGAGGAAAGUUUACAGAUUUCCUAUAAAAUUAUACGAUGCCGUGCUUAUGAUGUAAAAUGGCGGCGCACAUGUGAAGAAAUCUUCGUCGUCGGAAAAACAUGUGAAAACACGACCCGUUUAGGCACACGAGAAUAUCGAUCGAGAUUGGAGCAACGUAAUUUUUGACAACGUAAUGAAGCUUCUUUUUGGGCACGUAUCCCAUGAACCUAGUCUACCUACACCAAUAGAGUAGAACAACGGACUGUUAAACACGCAGUAAAGGUUGGCUGCUUCUCAGAACAGGGAUUUGGUAAACUGGAAGAUAAUGAUCCGAAACACCAGAGCGGACUCUGUACUGAGUGGAAGGAAGAAUCUGGCAUCAAUCAAUUGGAUUUGCCGUCACAGUCACUUGAUGCAGAUCCUAUCGAAAAUGUUUGGAUAUAUAUUAAGCAUAAACUUCGUGGGAGACAAACAUCCGGUUUAAGGCAGUUAUCUCGAGACACUUCGUCCGACAUUGAGACCUUUGCCGCACGAAUAUACGCUGCCAACUUAGUGCAAAGUAUGCCUCGGAAAUGUCAGUCAGUUAUCGAUGUCGAUGGUGACUGGACAUGUUAUUAAUGUCGGCCAUGUUCUUAUUAAACAGGCUGUGUAUAUCUAUAUGCAUGAUGGUGGAACAUUGUAUUUGGUUUACUUAAUCCUACAAGAGGACAGGACAGGAUUGAAAGUUGAUGAGAAGCUAUAUAUACAAAACUACAUAUAAUCUAUUCUUACAAGUUACCUGUUAUUGUAUGAUAUACCACUUAAAAUUUCAUGUAUCAAGAUGUUAUAUUUUUCAGCAUUACAUUUUUGUGGAACUGAGGUUGCCAAAUAUAUCUUUACACCAACAA